AGUGAACGCUGGCGGUAGACCUAACACAUGCAAGUCGAACGGCAGCACAGUAAGAGCUUGCUCUUACGGGUGGCGAGUGGCGGACGGGUGAGGAAUACAUCGGAAUCUACUUUUUCGUGGGGGAUAACGUAGGGAAACUUACGCUAAUACCGCAUACGACCUACGGGUGAAAGCAGGGGAUCUUCGGACCUUGCGCGAUUGAAUGAGCCGAUGUCGGAUUAGCUAGUUGGCGGGGUAAAGGCCCACCAAGGCGACGAUCCGUAGCUGGUCUGAGAGGAUGAUCAGCCACACUGGAACUGAGACACGGUCCAGACUCCUACGGGAGGCAGCAGUGGGGAAUAUUGGACAAUGGGCGCAAGCCUGAUCCAGCCAUACCGCGUGGGUGAAGAAGGCCUUCGGGUUGUAAAGCCCUUUUGUUGGGAAAGAAAGGCAGCAGGUUAAUACCCCGCUGUUCUGACGGUACCCAAAGAAUAAGCACCGGCUAACUUCGUG
rnacentral:rRNA from 1 species